GAUGAACGCUAGCGGCAGGCCUAACACAUGCAAGUCGAGGGGCAGCGCGGGCAGCAAUGCCUGGCGGCGACCGGCGCACGGGUGAGUAACGCGUAUGCAACCUGCCCUCCGCAGGGGAUAGCCCGCCGAAAGGCGGAUUAAUACCCCAUCGCCCGCUGUCCGGCAUCGGACGGCGGGUAAAGGAGCGAUCCGGCGGGGGAUGGGCAUGCGUGCCAUUAGCUUGUUGGCGGGGUAACGGCCCACCAAGGCGACGAUGGCUCGGGGGUCUGAGAGGAUGGUCCCCCACACUGGUACUGAGACACGGACCAGACUCCGUACGGGAGGCAGCAGUGAGGAAUAUUGGUCAAUGGGCGAAGCCUGAACCAGCCAUGCCGCGUGCAGGAAGACGGCCCUACGGGUUGUAAACUGCUUUUCCGGGGGAAGAAUAAGGCCCAUGCGUGGGCCGAUGCCGGUACCCGGAAUAAGGAUCGGCUAACUCCGUG
rnacentral:rRNA from 1 species